rnacentral:lncRNA from 1 species
ACAUUAGCUGAAAUCAAUCGAUAAACAUGUAAUUAAAUUGUACACGAUAAGUUACAUGUAUUGUGUGAUACGCGAGCUAUUGAAGAAUAAAUUGAACAGUUAAUACGCCGCUCCGUCAAUAUAUACACAUGUUGUCUGUCCUACGUCCCCUCUAAAAAGAAUAUUAAUAUGCUAAGUCCACGAUAAUAUACUUCAGUAUCACGUGACACCACCUUCCUACUUGCGCGCGUGUCUAAUUUUAGAUUUAAAAAGGAUUCCCAAACUAUGUAUAGAACUGAAACGUAUUCUACGGAAGAGAAAAAAAAAAAGGGGGGGGGGGGUGUUUAGACAUGCUGAUUCCGACA